GCGGACAUGGUGGAAUUGGUAGACACGCGAGGUUUAGGUCUUCGUGGAUGAAAAUCUGUGGGAGUUCAAGUCUCCCUGUCCGUA
rnacentral:tRNA from 1 species